rnacentral:rRNA from 1 species
UACGUAGGGGGCAAGCGUUGUCCGGAUUUACUGGGCGUAAAGAGCUCGUAGGCGGUUUGUCGCGUCUGCUGUGAAAACUCGAGGCUCAACCUCGGGCUUGCAGUGGGUACGGGCAGACUAGAGUGCGGUAGGGGUGACUGGAAUUCCUGGUGUAGCGGUGGAAUGCGCAGAUAUCAGGAGGAACACCGAGUGGCGAAAGGCAGGUCACCUGGGCCGCAAC